rnacentral:rRNA from 1 species
AUGCUCGGGGGCGAGGGCGGGCUGGAGGCCGACAAGGUUGCCAAGCUCAGGAAUGCUUCCGCAUGGCAGGUCCGUUCGCUCACGGAUUUUCUCAAGGUGAGGCGGUGUCUUCUCUUCUCUCCGUUCAUCUGUAAUAUAGGCCGACAAGGUUGCCAAGGUCAGGAAUGCUGCCGCAUGGCAGGUCCGUUCGCUCAUGGAUUUUCUCAAGAGAUAAUGCGGGUGUCCUCCUUGCUUAAGCACCAACCUGAUGGGGACUUUGAGAGGUUGCCGCCGAUGGCGCGUCCAAACCAGAUGCAUCAUCAUCAGUCGCCCCCAAUGCCUAAUUUCUGUGGAAAUGGUUUUGGCCCGUGGAACCACGGGGCGCAGCCAGAGAGGGUAGGUUUUCCUCAAGGACCCGUGGGUUGGCAAGGAGCACCACAAAGCCCCUCUCCAUACAUUGUCAAGAAGAUUUUGCGGUUGAAGAUACCAACAGAUACUUACCCUAAUGUACGUUCAUUCAUGCUUGCAAGUGUUCUAUUAGUAUGGAAUCAUUAUUUACUCUGCUUGCCAUACUUGUUCAAUUCAAUUUUAUUGGCCGUCUUCUUGGGCCAAGGGGAAACUCGUUGA